UACGAAGGGUGCAAGCGUUACUCAGAAUUACUGGGCGUAAAGCGCGCGUAGGUGGCCAUGUAAGUCCGCUGUGAAAGUCAAAGGCUCAACCUUUGAAAGCCGGUGGAUACUGCAUGGCUAGAGUACGGAAGAGGCGAGUGGAAUUCCUGGUGUAGCGGUGGAAUGCGCAGAUAUCAGGAGGAACACCAAUAGCGAAGGCAGCUCGCUGGGACGUUACUGACACUAAGGCGCGAAAGCGUGGGGAGCGAACGAGG
rnacentral:rRNA from 1 species